GCACUGCUCUUAGGAAGAUAACCUAUUGUGCUUUCUUCUUAGUUCUCAAACCCCUCUUGUCAACAUCUUUGACAGCAAUCCAACUUCAUGGAAGAUGUAUUACACACCGCAUGCAGAGUCGCGAAGUGCUAACCUAGCUAUUCUCAGAAGUUGUUCAAAAUCCGAUGGACUAAAAAUAUUCCGUCUGCCAAGCACUCAAGGUGAUUUGAAAAGGCUCGGAUGCUUUUGCUUUGGGCCACAGGCUGCAGAUAAAUUAAGAGGCGUCAGGGCUUUUUUAAUUUAAAUCUCUUUCUUCUCCUCCAGCCCUAUUAAUAAUGAACCAAAUCCACAACAGUGAAGGAGAAGCCUGCUUGCUGGCUAACGCUCUGUUUGUAAGAUGGUGUCUGCAUCUCCCCACGGUGCUAAAAUUCAUUUCAAGUUACACUUUAGUAAUUGAUGAUCACUUGCCGUAUCCCCUUAUAAAGCUUUUUUAUCAAUGUCUUUGGCGGUUCAUUUUAUAUCAGCAGCAAAUCAAUGAAAUUUUAAUGGAACAGAGCUCUCUACUUGAGGCUGAAUUAAUGUUGCUUUACCUAUUUCAAUAUCAAGUGAAGUUCUCAAAGUCUGGAAGGAUAACUCUUUCUCUGAUAACUCCAGACUGACAGAAUAAAGCUGGUGAAGUAGGAAAUGCAAGUAGGAAAUGCAUGAGAGCACACUGAAUUACCUUGGCUUAUGGGUCUCCAUCCACUGAAGAGGACUUGCCCAUUUUGGACUGUAGAAAUGGGGAGGACAGUAAGGAAGCACGCUGCCAUGCUGCCUUUAAUGCUGAAGGAAAGAGCCUGUUCUCCAGCAGCAUUCGGAGUGAUAGGUGAGGUGUGUAUUUUGUUUUUAUUCUUGAUUUAGCUUCCCACCGUUGCCAAGGUAAUUGUGCUGCUGUUUAGGAAAGCUAUUGCGUGGUGUUUGAAACAAGAAAACCCACGUGUUGCGUGUUUGUUGGUUUUAACUGCUUGGUGGGGAUUUGUUCAAGAGUGAACUUUAGCUUAUUCGUAGAAUCAUGGAAGGUUGGAAAAGACCAUUAAGAUCAUCAAAUCCAACCAUUCACCCAUCACUACCAUGCCAACUAAGCCAUGUCCUUUUGUGCACGUUGAUGGCAUCUAUGGAAUUUCUCUUUCCUUAAGCAAAAGUGAUUGCAAGCUGCCCCCAGAGCUGCUUCUGGAGAGCCAUGGAAGCCCCUUCAAAAGUCAGCUUGCCUAUUUUUUGGUGAAGAUCCUGGAGAAUUUUGCCUUCUUUAAGUUUAAUGUUUUGUAGUGACUGCUGUUGCAUGUCUGAUAAAACAUAGCUGCUAUGAUUUCUGUAACAGUUGCAGAUACAACUGAGAAAGUAUUAGAAGAGAUAGUUAAAAAAAAAAAAAAAAAAGUCAAUUUCUAACCAAAGAAGGUAAGGAAACAAUUUGUCACCAUUGACAACAGGAAAAUGAAUAAAUAUUGCAAUAGAUAUAUAUCUACUCAACAAAUUUAUAUUAGUAUCAGAGCGACAUCCUGUCUCAGGAAGGGUAGUAGACCAAUGUUAUUAACUUCCUUGAUGGAGAUCUUUCAUUUCAGGCCGUGAAUUUGUGGUGUGACAUCACUGUCUUCUUUGUAGUUUUGCUUGUGAUCUUCUAUUUCCUAAAGAAGUAUGCAAAUUAUUACAUUAUACUGUGUCUUAAAGUAUUAAAUGGUUGUAAUUUUCAUAUUUGCAUGUUCUGUGCUGGGCUUCUGAAUUCACCUUUUGGCACUGAGAUAGAAGUGACUAAGCUGAGAAGUCUUGAAUAUUCUAUGUAAAUUAAUGCAUAGAGUAGAUAUCUGUCAUUCUGGGAAAGUUAAGAUACAGUGUAGUUGCAAAGACUCAGAAAAUGUGGAGCGUAUGUUGAGUCAUGUAAAGCUUGGGCAUUUAUUGUUAAUUUUUUUAUACACACAUCAUGAGAGUCCCUCAUCAGUAGUAAUUGUAAGGCUUUAAAAGGGACAAGUGGAUCAUAUUUUCUGGAAGAACUUAACAGCGAAUUGUAGCAAAACAGCCUAUGAAAUGUUUCAGGGUCCAUGCUCAUUUCUUCUUCAGUUUGCUGACUGCAGGAUCCUCUGCUUCUUUUUAAAGACCUCUGUCAUCCCUUUCUGGACUCUCCUGCUUUUUUGCUUUUCUUUUCUUUUUUCGAUCUCUUUUAUCCCCUCCCCCCCCAGCUUAAAAAGCAGAAGUGUUUGCCAGUAAGUUGUAGUCACUUGAGUGCACUGUUAACAUGUGCUUGAAACCUCUGACAACCACGCCAGAAUUGUUCAGAACUCUUUAUUGUAGAAAAAGUAGGGAAGAAAAACACUCAGACAAACAAUUUAAUUAAGCAAAGGAAAGCAAUUUCAGGCGAGCUGAAUUCUUUGUUUUUAUACUGAAUAGUACUGAACUCUUGAAAUUUAAGAAUAGCUCUAUGUUUCCUCUUCUGCUGUCCUCUAAGGCUCUCAUAAGCUCUUGAUAAGAACUAGUUCUGAACUGAGUGCUAUAAUAAUGCUCUUCCAGUGCCCACCUGACCCAAAACUCCUGGAAGUCUGUGCAUGUCUUCUUUUAAUUUUCCAAUGUAUUCAAUGUCUGCUAGAACAAGAUGCAUAAAGGAUGAGGAACAAGAUCUUUCUGUGAAUAAAUCUGAUGAACCCCAAGGACUUGAAUUCCUUGAAAAAAUUUCAGAGGAGUGUCUGAACACCUGUGCUUCCUAUUAAAUCUUACGAAUGUUCUGAGAAUCUGAGCCAAUCUGUAAUGAUACUGUCCUUAUGUAUUUUCUAAUCUGUCCUGCUACUCUGGAUGAUAAGCCCUCUAAUAACUCUUUGGAGUACAUCAAAAUGUCAUUUUGUGCAGAAUGCCUGCUCUUUUCCCUCUAGAUCCUAGCUUAAAAAUGAGUGUUGUGUCACAGAAGAUCAUUUUGGAUUACAGAACAACUUCUCAAAAUGUCAGCAGUAAAUAGUCUGCAAAUCCCUCAUUAUCAAUAAUACAGCACUGAUAUUCAGUAAAAAGCCAUUUUGUAAAACUUUCAAGUCUGUAUCCUAACAAACCUUUUAGCUAGUAGCAAUCCCCCCAGCAUCAAGCAGGUUUAAUGCAAAAGAGAUCUGUUGUUUUUUUCCCUAGAGAACUCAAGUGAAGGUUUUAUAAACUUUUGGACAAGGGACUUGGAUUUCAAUACUGUUUUAAAUGAAACCAUUUAAGGAUGUUUUUAGUUCUUCAUCUUUACUCAUUGUAAGAAAUAAUAAUAAUAAAAAAUCCAUCAGUACGUGCUCAGAAACUAUUUUUUUUAUAAGAGUACAUUACUGUUUAUGAAAUUAUUUUUGUGCACUCAAUACUGACUUGGAUGUCACUAAAUUAAUGUUGUUGAGAGUGUGAGUCUCUGACUUGUGUUUGGUUUCCUUAUUCAUUUACACACCUUUCUUAAAAGCUUUCUUUCUUGUAUGAAGUAAAAGAGUCAGCGUUCUAAUGUUACUUGUGUGGAAACUGUAAUGCAAUAGGUAUAAAGCUAUUAUUUUUUCCAUGCGUAUCAACUUGAAAACUCUCACUGAUUGCAUUGGUAGAGAGUUAGGUCUGUAUGAGGAGCAGAGAAGAAAGGUCAGUGGGAAAAAAAUACAAUGAAAUCUUAAACCUUCAGAAAAAAAUGUGGUGAUGUUCAAAACAGUGAACGUGGUGAUAAGCACUGGUAUUAGGUUGAAGACUUCAAGAUUCUUUAUCUGCAUUGCUGGGCUUCCAGCACCAUGUUACUGUACAUUUCGCCUUCUUUAUGUAGAUUUUAAGGCUGGGAGGAUGAAUUUGACUCUGUUUUUGACUUACCUGAAGAGGUUUUCUGACAGGAAAACUGUUAGGUAGCUGUGUACUGGGAACCCUUUUAAUAUAAAACAGUUCAUCUUAUAUUAACUUCUGUAAGCCAUCAGCCUGAAAUGAGCUGUCCUUGAACAAAUGAGUCACAAGGGCUGGUCUAGAUAUCUGAUUGCCA
ensembl:lncRNA